GACGAACGCUGGCGGCGUGCUUAACACAUGCAAGUCGAACGGAAAGGCCCUGCUUUUGUGGGGUGCUCGAGUGGCGAACGGGUGAGUAACACGUGAGUAACCUGCCCUUGACUUUGGGAUAACUUCAGGAAACUGGGGCUAAUACCGGAUAGGAUCUCCUGCUGCAUGGUGGGGGUUGGAAAGUUUCGGCUGUUGGGGAUGGACUCGCGGCUUAUCAGCUUGUUGGUGGGGUAGUGGCUUACCAAGGCUUUGACGGGUAGCCGGCCUGUGAGGGUGACCGGCCACAUUGGGACUGCGAUACGGACCAGUCUCCUACGGGGGGCAGCAGUGGGGAAUAUUGCACAAUGGGCGGAAGCCUGAUGCAGCAACGCCGCGUGCGGGAUGACGGCCUUCGGGUUAUGAACCGCUUUCGCCUGUGACGAAGCGUGAGUGACGGUAAUGAGUGAAGAAGCACCGGCUAACUACGUG
rnacentral:rRNA from 1 species